AAGCAAUGACGUUAUUCCAGGCUUGUAAAACUGAGUCUGAGAAACUGCAAUCUACAAGGAACUGUUCCUGAUUUCAGCCCAAUAGCAAAUCUUAGCUAUUUAGAUCUUAGCUGGAAUCAUCUUACAGGACACUUGCCAACAAAUAAACUUUCAGACAAUAUAUAGCCAAUUUUAUUUAUAUAUUUUGUAUAUAUAACAAUGUUCGUUUAUUUUCAUGCUAGCGAUGAUCAACAUGAGUCUGAUGUAGUAAUGCUCUUGCUGUUGCAG